UACCUCAGUAACGGCGAGUGAAGCGGUAACAGCUCAAAUUUGAAAUCUGGGCCUUUCAGGCUCCGAGUUGUAAUUUGUAGAAGAUGCUUUGGGUGCGGCCCCGGUCUAAGUUCCUUGGAACAGGACGUCAUAGAGGGUGAGAAUCCCGUAUGUGAUCGGUGGCUUGCGCCCGUGUAAAGCUCUUUCGACGAGUCGGGUUGUUUGGGAAUGCAGCUCUAAAUGGGUGGUAAAUUUCAUCUAAAGCUAAAUAUUGGCCAGAGACCGAUAGCGCACAAGUAGAGUGAUCGAAAGAUGAAAAGCACUUUGGAAAGAGAGUUAAACAGUACGUGAAAUUGUUGAAAGGGAAGCGCUUGCAACCAGACUUGCGCGGGGUUGAUCAUCCGGGGUUCUCCCCGGUGCACUCGGCCCCGCUCAGGCCAGCAUCGGUUUUGGUGGUUGGAUAAAGGCCUUGGGAAUGUGACUUCUUUCGGGGAGUGUUAUAGCCCUCGGUGCAAUGCAGCCUACCGGGACCGAGGACCGCGCUUCGGCUAGGAUGCUGGCGUAAUGGUUGUAAGCGACCCGUCUUGAAACACGGACCAAGGAGUCUAACAUCUAUGCGAGUGUUUGGGUGUCAAACCCAUGCGCGUAAUGAAAGUGAACGGAGGUGAGAACCCUUAAGGGCGCAUCAUCGACCGAUCCUGAUGUCUUCGGAUGGAUUUGAGUAAGAGCAUAGCUGUUGGGACCCGAAAGAUGGUGAACUAUGCCUGAAUAGGGUGAAGCCAGAGGAAACUCUGGUGGAGGCUCGCAGCGGUUCUGACGUGCAAAUCGAUCGUCAAAUUUGGGCAUAGGGGCGAAAGACUAAUCGAACCAUCUAGUAGCUGGUUCCUGCCGAAGUUUCCCU
rnacentral:rRNA from 1 species